rnacentral:rRNA from 1 species
GAUGAACGCUGGCGGCGUGCCUAAUACAUGCAAGUCGAGCGAACGGACGAGAAGCUUGCUUCUCUGAUGUUAGCGGCGGACGGGUGAGUAACACGUGGAUAACCUACCUAUAAGACUGGGAUAACUUCGGGAAACCGUAGCUAAUACCGGAUAAUAUUUUGAACCGCAUGGUUCAAAAGUGAAAGACGGUCUUGCUGUCACUUAUAGAUGGAUCCGCGCUGCAUUAGCUAGUUGGUAAGGUAACGGCUUACCAAGGCAACGAUGCAUAGCCGACCUGAGAGGGUGAUCGGCGACCCUGGGACUGAGACACGGUCCAGACUCCUACGGGAGGCAGCAGUAGGGUAUCUUCCGCAAUGGGCGAAAGCCUGACGGAGCAACGCCGCGUGAGUGAUGAAGGUCUUCGGAUCGUAAAACUCUGUUAUUAGGGAAGAACAUAUGUGUAAGUAACUGUGCACAUCUUGACGGUACCUAAUCAGAAAGCCACGGCUAACUACGUG